GAUGAACGCUGGCGGCGUGCUUAACACAUGCAAGUCGAACGGUGAAAGAGAGCUUGCUCUCUGGAUCAGUGGCGAACGGGUGAGUAACACGUGAGCAAUCUGCCCCUGACUCUGGGAUAAGCGCUGGAAACGGCGUCUAAUACCGGAUACGAGCUGCGAAGGCAUCUUCAGCAGCUGGAAAGAACUUCGGUCAGGGAUGAGCUCGCGGCCUAUCAGCUAGUUGGUGAGGUAACGGCUCACCAAGGCGUCGACGGGUAGCCGGCCUGAGAGGGUGACCGGCCACACUGGGACUGAGACACGGCCCAGACUCCUACGGGAGGCAGCAGUGGGAAAUAUUGCACAAUGGGCGAAAGCCUGAUGCAGCAACGCCGCGUGAGGGACGACGGCCUUCGGGUUGUAAACCUCUUUUAGCAGGGAAGAAGCGAAAGUGACGGUACCUGCAGAAAAAGCACCGGCUAACUACGUG
rnacentral:rRNA from 1 species